rnacentral:rRNA from 1 species
GGUUAAGCGACUAAGCGUACACGGUGGAUGCCCUGGCAGUCAGAGGCGAUGAAGGACGUGCUAAUCUGCGAUAAGCGUCGGUAAGGUGAUAUGAACCGUUAUAACCGGCGAUUUCCGAAUGGGGAAACCCAGUGUGUUUCGACACACUAUCAUUAACUGAAUCCAUAGGUUAAUGAGGCGAACCGGGGGAACUGAAACAUCUAAGUACCCCGAGGAAAAGAAAUCAACCGAGAUUCCCCCAGUAGCGGCGAGCGAACGGGGAGCAGCCCAGAGCCUGAAUCAGUGUGUGUGUUAGUGGAAGCGUCUGGAAAGGCGCGCGAUACAGGGUGACAGCCCCGUACACAAAAAUGCACAUGCUGUGAGCUCGAUGAGUAGGGCGGGACACGUGGUAUCCUGUCUGAAUAUGGGGGGACCAUCCUCCAAGGCUAAAUACUCCUGACUGACCGAUAGUGAACCAGUACCGUGAGGGAAAGGCGAAAAGAACCCCGGCGAGGGGAGUGAAAAAGAACCUGAAACCGUGUACGUACAAGCAGUGGGAGCCUCUUUAUGGGGUGACUGCGUACCUUUUGUAUAAUGGGUCAGCGACUUAUAUUCUGUAGCAAGGUUAACCGAAUAGGGGAGCCGAAGGGAAACCGAGUCUUAACUGGGCGUUAAGUUGCAGGGUAUAGACCCGAAACCCGGUGAUCUAGCCAUGGGCAGGUUGAAGGUUGGGUAACACUAACUGGAGGACCGAACCGACUAAUGUUGAAAAAUUAGCGGAUGACUUGUGGCUGGGGGUGAAAGGCCAAUCAAACCGGGAGAUAGCUGGUUCUCCCCGAAAGCUAUUUAGGUAGCGCCUCGUGAAUUCAUCUCCGGGGGUAGAGCACUGUUUCGGCAAGGGGGUCAUCCCGACUUACCAACCCGAUGCAAACUGCGAAUACCGGAGAAUGUUAUCACGGGAGACACACGGCGGGUGCUAACGUCCGUCGUGAAGAGGGAAACAACCCAGACCGCCAGCUAAGGUCCCAAAGUCAUGGUUAAGUGGGAAACGAUGUGGGAAGGCCCAGACAGCCAGGAUGUUGGCUUAGAAGCAGCCAUCAUUUAAAGAAAGCGUAAUAGCUCACUGGUCGAGUCGGCCUGCGCGGAAGAUGUAACGGGGCUAAACCAUGCACCGAAGCUGCGGCAGCGACGCUUAUGCGUUGUUGGGUAGGGGAGCGUUCUGUAAGCCUGUGAAGGUGUGCUGUGAGGCAUGCUGGAGGUAUCAGAAGUGCGAAUGCUGACAUAAGUAACGAUAAAGCGGGUGAAAAGCCCGCUCGCCGGAAGACCAAGGGUUCCUGUCCAACGUUAAUCGGGGCAGGGUGAGUCGACCCCUAAGGCGAGGCCGAAAGGCGUAGUCGAUGGGAAACAGGUUAAUAUUCCUGUACUUGGUGUUACUGCGAAGGGGGGACGGAGAAGGCUAUGUUGGCCGGGCGACGGUUGUCCCGGUUUAAGCGUGUAGGCUGGUUUUCCAGGCAAAUCCGGAAAAUCAAGGCUGAGGCGUGAUGACGAGGCACUACGGUGCUGAAGCAACAAAUGCCCUGCUUCCAGGAAAAGCCUCUAAGCAUCAGGUAACAUCAAAUCGUACCCCAAACCGACACAGGUGGUCAGGUAGAGAAUACCAAGGCGCUUGAGAGAACUCGGGUGAAGGAACUAGGCAAAAUGGUGCCGUAACUUCGGGAGAAGGCACGCUGAUAUGUAGGUGAAGCGACUUGCUCGUGGAGCUGAAAUCAGUCGAAGAUACCAGCUGGCUGCAACUGUUUAUUAAAAACACAGCACUGUGCAAACACGAAAGUGGACGUAUACGGUGUGACGCCUGCCCGGUGCCGGAAGGUUAAUUGAUGGGGUUAGCGCAAGCGAAGCUCUUGAUCGAAGCCCCGGUAAACGGCGGCCGUAACUAUAACGGUCCUAAGGUAGCGAAAUUCCUUGUCGGGUAAGUUCCGACCUGCACGAAUGGCGUAAUGAUGGCCAGGCUGUCUCCACCCGAGACUCAGUGAAAUUGAACUCGCUGUGAAGAUGCAGUGUACCCGCGGCAAGACGGAAAGACCCCGUGAACCUUUACUAUAGCUUGACACUGAACAUUGAGCCUUGAUGUGUAGGAUAGGUGGGAGGCUUUGAAGUGUGGACGCCAGUCUGCAUGGAGCCGACCUUGAAAUACCACCCUUUAAUGUUUGAUGUUCUAACGUUGACCCGUAAUCCGGGUUGCGGACAGUGUCUGGUGGGUAGUUUGACUGGGGCGGUCUCCUCCUAAAGAGUAACGGAGGAGCACGAAGGUUGGCUAAUCCUGGUCGGACAUCAGGAGGUUAGUGCAAUGGCAUAAGCCAGCUUGACUGCGAGCGUGACGGCGCGAGCAGGUGCGAAAGCAGGUCAUAGUGAUCCGGUGGUUCUGAAUGGAAGGGCCAUCGCUCAACGGAUAAAAGGUACUCCGGGGAUAACAGGCUGAUACCGCCCAAGAGUUCAUAUCGACGGCGGUGUUUGGCACCUCGAUGUCGGCUCAUCACAUCCUGGGGCUGAAGUAGGUCCCAAGGGUAUGGCUGUUCGCCAUUUAAAGUGGUACGCGAGCUGGGUUUAGAACGUCGUGAGACAGUUCGGUCCCUAUCUGCCGUGGGCGCUGGAGAACUGAGGGGGGCUGCUCCUAGUACGAGAGGACCGGAGUGGACGCAUCACUGGUGUUCGGGUUGUCAUGCCAAUGGCACUGCCCGGUAGCUAAAUGCGGAAGAGAUAAGUGCUGAAAGCAUCUAAGCACGAAACUUGCCCCGAGAUGAGUUCUCCCUGACCCUUUAAGGGUCCUGAAGGAACGUUGAAGACGACGACGUUGAUAGGCCGGGUGUGUAAGCGCAGCGAUGCGUUGAGCUAACCGGUACUAAUGAACCGUGAGGCUUAACCUU